rnacentral:rRNA from 1 species
GACGAACGCUGGCGGCGUGCUUAACACAUGCAAGUCGAACGGAAAGGCCCUGCUUUUGUGGGGUGCUCGAUUGGCGAACGGGUGAGUAACACGUGAGUAACCUGCCCCUGACUUUGGGAUAACUUCAGGAAACUGGGGCUCAUACCGGGUAGGAUCUCCUGCUGCAUGGUGGGGGUUGGAAAGUUUCGGCGGUGGGGGAUGGACUCGCGGCUUAUCAGCUUGUUGGUAAGGUAGUGGCUUACCAAGGCUAUGACGGGUAGCCGGCAUGAGAGGGUGACCGGCCGCCCUGGAAGGGAGACACGGUCCAGACGCCUACGGGAGCGAGCAGAAGGGAAUCGUCCGCAAGGGGCGGAAGCCUGACGGAGCAGCGCGGAGUGAGUGAUGAAGGUCUCCGGAUCGUAAAAGUCUGUUAUUGGGGAAGAACAUAUUUGUAAGUAACUGUGCACAUCUUGACGGUACCUAGUCAGAAAGCCACGGCUAACUACGUG